GCAAAAGCGGUCCAAAAGGGACAUCUCACUGUUUAUCUUAACAAUCUGCUCUAAGGAAGACCCGCCAAGCUCGAGGAGGGCCUUUAAUUUUGUCAGCGACUCAAGCUAAACCAUCGUCUACACGUUAGCUCCGAUAUCUGAUCGAUACACCUUUUCCAAGUCGCAGGACAUGGCAAGACUUACUGUCGCAGCUUCGAUCUCGCCGUUACCAAUUUGCCCACUGCAGAAGAUGAGACCAGGGACUUUGGCAGCAGGAGCUACAUGACAGUAACGCAAACAUUAACCAGUUAUCCAUAUCGAACGAAACUGGACCGGACAUUGUUCUUCGCUUACUUCUGUUGCGUUUUAUACUUCUGACGGCUCUGGGGAGAAACUAACGGAGACACUAUCCUAUGUAUAUAUACCUUCCAUACAUGCAGUUUAGACGAUUCAACUUAGAAAUAACCAAUGAGGUUAAGAUUUUG
rnacentral:sRNA from 1 species